rnacentral:rRNA from 1 species
NNNNNNNGAGAGUUUGAUCCUGGCUCAGGACGAACGCUGGCGGCGUGCUUAACACAUGCAAGUCGAGCGAUGAAGCUUCCUUCGGGAAGUGGAUUAGCGGCGGACGGGUGAGUAACACGUGGGUAACCUGCCUCAAAGUGGGGGAUAGCCUUCCGAAAGGAAGAUUAAUACCGCAUAAUAUAAGAGAAUCGCAUGAUUUUCUUAUCAAAGAUUUAUUGCUUUGAGAUGGACCCGCGGCGCAUUAGCUAGUUGGUAAGGUAACGGCUUACCAAGGCAACGAUGCGUAGCCGACCUGAGAGGGUGAUCGGCCACAUUGGAACUGAGACACGGUCCAGACUCCUACGGGAGGCAGCAGUGGGGAAUAUUGCGCAAUGGGGGAGACCCUGACGCAGCAACGCCGCGUGGGUGAUGAAGGUCUUCGGAUUGUAAAGCCCUGUUUUCUAGGACGAUAAUGACGGUACUAGAGGAGGAAGCCACGGCUAACUACGUGCCAGCAGCCGCGGUAAUACGUAGGUGGCGAGCGUUGUCCGGAUUUACUGGGCGUAAAGGGUGCGUAGGCGGAUGUUUAAGUGGGAUGUGAAAUCCCCGGGCUUAACCUGGGGGCUGCAUUCCAAACUGGAUAUCUAGAGUGCAGGAGAGGAAAGCGGAAUUCCUAGUGUAGCGGUGAAAUGCGUAGAGAUUAGGAAGAACACCAGUGGCGAAGGCGGCUUUCUGGACUGUAACUGACGCUGAGGCACGAAAGCGUGGGUAGCAAACAGGAUUAGAUACCCUGGUAGUCCACGCCGUAAACGAUGGAUACUAGGUGUAGGGGGUAUCAACUCCCCCUGUGCCGCAGUUAACACAAUAAGUAUCCCGCCUGGGGAGUACGGUCGCAAGAUUAAAACUCAAAGGAAUUGACGGGGGCCCGCACAAGCAGCGGAGCAUGUGGUUUAAUUCGAAGCAACGCGAAGAACCUUACCUGGACUUGACAUCCCUUGCAUAGCCUAGAGAUAGGUGAAGCCCUUCGGGGCAAGGAGACAGGUGGUGCAUGGUUGUCGUCAGCUCGUGUCGUGAGAUGUUAGGUUAAGUCCUGCAACGAGCGCAACCCUUGUUAUUAGUUGCUACCAUUAAGUUGAGCACUCUAAUGAGACUGCCUGGGUAACCAGGAGGAAGGUGGGGAUGACGUCAAAUCAUCAUGCCCCUUAUGUCCAGGGCUACACACGUGCUACAAUGGUAGGUACAAUAAGACGCAAGACCGUGAGGUGGAGCAAAACUUAUAAAACCUAUCUCAGUUCGGAUUGUAGGCUGCAACUCGCCUACAUGAAGCUGGAGUUGCUAGUAAUCGCGAAUCAGAAUGUCGCGGUGAAUACGUUCCCGGGCCUUGUACACACCGCCCCGUCACACCAUGAGAGCUGGUAACACCCGAAGUCCGUGAGGUAACCGUAAGGAGCCAGCGGCCGAAGGUGGGAUUAGUGAUUGGGGUGAAGUCGUAACAAGGUAGCCGUAGGAGAACCUGCGGCUGGAUCACCUCC